rnacentral:rRNA from 1 species
AAUGGUUCUUAUCUGCCAUAGGAUAGGAUUGUGUUCGAUUAUGGUAGUUGGUGAGAUAAUGGCUCACCAAGCCGAUAAUCGAUAGGGGCCGUGAGAGCGGGAGCCCCGAGAUGGGUACUGAGACAACGACCCAGGCCUUACGAGGCGCAGCAGGCGCGGAACCUCAUCAAUACACGAAAGUGUGAAUGGGUUACCCAAAGUGUCCUUAUUCGGACUGUGGUAGGUGAGUAAUGUCCCCUACUACAAAGGAGAGGGCAAGGCUGGUGCCAGCCGCCGAGGUAAAACCAGCUCUUCAAGUGGUCGGGAUAAU